UAGUUUGGAUUUACUUUUAUUUAGAGGCUA
rnacentral:piRNA from 1 species